rnacentral:rRNA from 2 species
GGUCUUUUGUUUAUAUAAAAGAUCUAGCCUGCCCAAUGAUAAUAUUUAAUGGCUGCAGUAUAUUGACUGUACAAAGGUAGCAUAAUCAUUUGUCUCUUAAUUGGAGUCUGGAAUGAAUGGUUGGAUGAGAAAUUUACUUUCUUUAUUUUAAAAAUAGAAUUUGAUUUUUUAAUUAAAAAGUUAAAAUAUUAAUAUAGGACGAGAAGACCCUAUAGAACUUUAUUUCUGAAAGAAAAAUAUUAUUUUGUUAAUAAAUUUAUAUUAUUUUAAGGAAAUUUUAUUGGGGUGAUAAAAAAAAAAUUAUAACUUUUUUUACUUUUUUCAUUUAUAUAUGAUUAUUUUGAUCCUAUAUUAUGGAUUUUAAGAUUAAGUUACCUUAGGGAUAACAGCGUUAUUAUUUUAGAGAGUUCAUAUUUAUAAAAUAGUUUGCGACCUCGAUGUUGGAUUAAAAUAAGUUUCAGGGGCAGAAAAUUGAUAAACUAGGUCUGUUCGACCUUUAAAUUUUUACA